GUGUCAGCCGCCGCGGUAAGACGUAGGCUGCAAGCGUUGUCCGGAUUUAUUGGGCGUAAAGAGUUCGUAGGCGGUUUGUUAAGUCUGAUGUUAAAGAUCGGGGCCCAACCCCGGGACUGCAUUGGAUACUGGCAGACUAGAGUGUGGUAGAGGUAAGUGGAAUUUCUGGUGUAGCGGUGAAAUGCGUAGAUAUCGGGAGGAACACCUGUGGCGAAAGCGGCGCACUGGACAACAACUGACGCUGAGGCGCGAAAGCUAGGGGAGCAAACAGGAUUAGAUACCCUCGUAGUCC
rnacentral:rRNA from 1 species